rnacentral:lncRNA from 1 species
GUCCACAAACAAAACUAAUUAUCUAAUAUUCUAAAUUUCUAAUUCCUAAUUACUAAUACCUAUUCCUCAUUCUAGAGAAAGACAGAAACUUUCCGCCUGAAACCCUAACAGCAGCAGUCGCCGUCUUCCACCAGUAGCCAUCAAUCCUUUCCGCCUCCGCUCGUCGUCGUCUACUUCCACCAGUCGUCGGUCUCCCUCCUCUCGCCAUCUCGUCUCUCCAAUUCUCCAGGUACUCUUCUUAUCCUCGUCUAAAUGAUUUAGAGAUGGAUGACAGGAUGAGAUAUGUCGGUCGUCGGAAAUGUCCAGGUACUCAAUUACUAAUACCUAUUCCUCAUUCUAGAGAAAGACAGAAACUUUCCGCCUGAAACCCUAAUAGCAGCAGUCGUCGUCUUCCACCAGUAGCCACCAUUCCUUUCCGCCUCCGCUCGUCGUCGUCUACUUCCACCAGUCGUCGGUAUCCCUCAUCUCGCCAUCUCGUCUCUCCAAUUCUCCAGGUACUCUUCUUAUCCUCAUCUAAAUGAUUUAGAGAUGGAUGACAGGAUGAGAUAUGUCGGUCGUCGGAAAUGUCCAGGUACUCUCUCGAAAUAAUUUUUUCGAGGAGUUGGGGACUUUAGUGCUAAUAGAUUAUAAGGUAAACCUCAAUUUUUUCUGCAAUAACUUUAAUUUCUAUGAAAAAUGCGAAAAAAAUGACAAUAUUUGUUGUAAUAUAAACCUCAAUAACCUUAAGGCUAGAUAAAUC